rnacentral:rRNA from 1 species
UACGAGGGAGGCGAGCGUUGUUCGGAAUUAUCGUGGGCGUAAAGCGCACGUAGGCGGACAUUUAAGUCAGGGUGAAAUCCCGGGCUCAACCUCGGAACUGCCUUUGGAUACUGGGUGUCGUUGAGUGUGGAAGAGGUCGAGUGGAAUUGCGAGUGUAGAGGUGAAAUUCGUAGAUAUUCGCAGGACACCAGUGGCGAAGGCGGCUGACUGGUCCACAAC